GACGAACGCUGGCGGCGUGCCUAAUACAUGCAAGUAGAACGCUGAAGAGAGGAGCUUGCUCUUCUUGGAUGAGUUGCGAACGGGUGAGUAACGCGUAGGUAACCUGCCUUGUAGCGGGGGAUAACUAUUGGAAACGAUAGCUAAUACCGCAUAACAAUGGAUGACACAUGUCAUUUAUUUGAAAGGGGCAAUUGCUCCACUACAAGAUGGACCUGCGUUGUAUUAGCUAGUAGGUGAGGUAAUGGCUCACCUAGGCGACGAUACAUAGCCGACCUGAGAGGGUGAACAGCCUCACCGGGACUGAGGCACGGCCCAGAUUACUACAGGAAGCAGAAGAAGGGAAAUUUCGGCAAGGGGGGGAACCCAGAACGGACAAACCCGCGUGAGAGAAGAAGGUUUUCGGAGCGUAGAGCUCUGUUGUAAGUCAAGAACGGGUGUGAGAGUGAAAAGUUCACACUGUGACGGUAGCUUACCAGAAAGGGACGGCUAACUACGUG
rnacentral:rRNA from 1 species